UAAUUCUUGAGUGUAUCUAGAUGAUAAAGUUUGCCCAUCACAAGCAAAAACGUGUCACUGCUACUGCGGAGUAUCUAGCUAUACUACAAAUACAAAAACAUAUUGGGCUUUCCUUCACUCCUCCUCCAUUCUCUGUUUUCUAAACUGAAGGCUUGGACGGUUGGACCUCAUCAUUGCGGAAAACUCAGAGAGCUCUUUGAUCGGCCCGAGGGCAAUCGUUGCAGAGCCUUACGCGAGUGGAGAGAUCGCCUGUGAAGAGAUUGAUUUACGAUGAAGACGUGCUAACAUAACAGAUCAGGACUGCGAGCUCAGAGAACGGAUUCAGCAGGUUCAACAGGUCAACCAUGUCGGAAAGUCAUCUGAUGGGCUUUUUAGUCCUCUUUCUCUCAAUCUUUCCUACUGAAUCAACUAUCAGAA
ensembl:lncRNA